CUAGGGCACUCUCGCGGGACAAUGGGUGUCACGGCAGCCAGCGACCGUUUGUCAUUCACAGCUGCCUGAAAGGAGGACCGCAGUAUUCCCACGCAGGAAGCUUGGACCAAAAGCAGGAAUGCUUAAGGGCGCAUAUGACUUGCCAUGGUAAAAAACAGGAUGCCAACCCAGGCCUGAUGACAUCCACCUCACUAAAAGCUCAGGACUAGGACUUUCUGCUUUAAACAAGGAUCCACAUGUGGGUGUUUUCUGUGGGAGAGGGAGAGAGGACAUUCAAAGGGCAGAAGUCUGACCUUUGCAAGCACACAUGAACCACACCAAUGAGAAAUGAAUGGAUGAGCCAGAUGCCAAAUUAUAAAUUUCCUACUGCACACCUUGAAUGUGAAAGUACAUGUGGCCGACAAAGAGAAGGGAAGAUGGAGCCACCAUCUUCAACAGGAGUGGCACAACUGUCGGAUCUAUGUCUGCAGCUGGAUUUUACAGGCUGCUCUUCGUUAGAAAGGGAAACUUUACGGAGGACUUCCAUGCCUUCACUAUCUGCCUAAGUAAAUUCUUCUUAACUCCUGUA
rnacentral:lncRNA from 1 species